AAUGAACGCUGGCGGCGUGCCUAAGACAUGCAAGUCGAACGAGAAAAUUUUCUUCGGAAAAUAAGUAGAGUGGCGCACGGGUGAGUAAUACUUAGAUAACGUACCCUAUCGCUGGGGACAACUGGAGGAAACUCCAGCUAAUACCGAAUAGUCUAUAAUUAACUAUGGUUUUUUAUGGUAAAGCGUAUGCGCGAUGGGAUCGGUUUAAGUACCAUUAGCUUGUUGGUGAGGUAAGAGCUCACCAAGGCGACGAUGGUUAGCUGGUCUGAGAGGAUGAUCAGCCACACUGACACUGGAAUACGGGUCAGACUCCUACGGGAGGCAGCAGUCAGGAAUUUUGCGCAAUGGGGUAACCCCUGACGCAGCAACGCCGCGUGAGUGAUGAAGGCUUUCGGGUCGUAAAGCUCUUUCAGUAGGGAAGAAAUUGACGGUACCUACAGAAGAAGCACCGGCUAAUUCCG
rnacentral:rRNA from 1 species